CUUAAGAGUAGAGCGAAGGGGGCAACCUAGAGGGAGGAUUGGUUUCAGAAGAUCCGUUGUCCAUUUCUCAGCCAUGGCCCAAAUGUUUCUCUUCCUCCUCUUCCUCCUCACCUACUUCACUGGUGCCUUGGCCCAGUUCACCUUGACUCAACCCCCUUCUCUGUCAGCAUUGCCUGGAGAGACAGUCAGGAUCACCUGUAGAAGGACAGGUGGCAGCAUUUCAAGCAACUAUGUGAGCUGGCAUCAGCAGAAACCUGGCAGUAGUCCUCUCACAUUGAUCUAUGGGGAUAGCAAGAGACCUUCUGGAAUCCCUGAGCGAUUUUCUGGUUCCGUUGACUCUUCGUCCAAUUCGGCCAUCUUGUCCAUCUCCAACAUUCAAGGAGGAGACGAGGCUGAUUACUACUGUGGUAGUUGGAGCAGUGGAGCUAGCACGCUGCACAGUGGUAAAUGCUUAUGGGGAAGUGUGACAAAAACCUGCACUCUUCCUCUUCAGCUUGAAACAAGAAGCAACAAACCUUGACCUGUGACUGGGGAC